UGGCCACAAUAGUGUGAUUGAUGAAAAAGAGUUUUCAUAGAAGUCAUAACUAGACUUAAGCUAAUCGAAUCGAUCAUAUGACUGAUGUUGAUAUUUGAUGAUUUAUUCAUGACUUACUAUCUAGUCGGGACUCACGAUAGAGGGACUGAAUCACAUGUUAACUAUACCUAGAGGUUUAUUUCAGUUCUACUUGGUUACCACUACAUACUAUUAGGUGUCACUGGUAGAUUAUGAGAGCUCACUAGGAUUGUUCU
rnacentral:lncRNA from 1 species